GACGAACGCUGGCGGCGUGCUUAACACAUGCAAGUCGAACGGAAAGGCCCUGCUUUUGUGGGGUGUUCGAGUGGCGAACGGGUGUGUAACACGUGAGUAACCUGCCCUUGACUUUGGGAUAACUUCAGGAAACUGGGGCUAAUACCGGAUAGGAGCUCCUGCUGCAUGGCGGGGGUUGGACAGUUUCGGCGGUUGGGGAUGGACUCGAGGCUUAUCAGCUUGUUGGUGGGGUAGUGGCUUACCAAGGCUUUGACGGGUAGCCGGCCUGAGAGGGUGACCGGCCACAUUGGGACUGAGAUACGGCACAGACUCAUACGGGAGGCAGCAGUGGGGAAUAUUGCACAAUGAGCGGAAGCCUGAUGCAGCAACGCCGCGUGCGGGAUGAAGGCCUUCGGGUUGUAACCCGCUUUCGCCUGUGACGAAGCGUGAGUGACGGAAAUGGGUAAAGAAGCACCGGCUAACUACGUG
rnacentral:rRNA from 1 species